GGGUCGAUGGCGUAGUUGGUUAUCGCAUCUGUCUAACAUACAAACCAGUAAUUCAGGAUUGUCAGUUAGUUCCACAGAAGGUCCUCAGUUCGAACCUGGGUCGACUCA